AAUUAUAUUUUUGUCUUCUGACACUAAAGAUAAGAGUUUGUUUUAAUGUAAUAUUUAUCACUUAUUAAUACAAACAUAUAUACCAAAAUCCUGUGUAAAUCCAACAUUUGAUAUCUGAUAACUUUCUUCAAUGUCUGAAAGUGCUAAGUGUAAUACAAAAUGGAUGUGUAUUGAACCCAGUAAGGCUUCUGUAAUAUGGUUUGAUGUAACAUAUAGCAAGUUACAUUAGUGGGCUGCAAAACUGAGCUCAUUUGUACUUUUAUACUAAGGAGGCUUUAACAUGAUGAGAGAUCACUUCUGUGGAGUGUAUUUAAGAUAUUUAGAGUCCUUCAUUUAACUAAAGGAAAAGUUGUCCAUAGACACAAUGUUUCCAAUACACAUUGAGUUGAGAGACUGCAUUGGCUUCAGUCGAGGUAGGAACCUGGGGAUUCACAUGGCCAAAAAAACUGAGAAAGAAGAAGAUGUCAAGUUUUUACAGAAAAAGUAUUGGAAAAUGUGUUUUAAAAAGCACUUUUUUAUCAUGCAGUCUGCAUAUAAUCAGUAUUGUAGUGAAAAUAAACAUCGUAGCUAAAACUAGGUUUAUUUAGACAUCAUCACAAGCACACUAUCAAAUCACUGUAUUAAAUAUUACACUUCCCGACAUUUCCUCUCAGUUUCACACAACUGUACUAACACAUGAUUAGUUCUGUUUCAUAACUACCCAUGAACUGGACACGACUACCUUGCAGCAUAACCAUGACCAUGGAUGUCUCUGAUAACAGGUCAACUGUUUUAAGGGUGACAGGUCAGCCAUGACUGUUGUUGGUCACGGUCAUGGUAACAAGUCAAUAGUGACUUAAGUCGGCCAGAGUAACAUUGGCAGGUCUACUGUAACUGUUGUUGAUCUAGGAACAGGUCAACAUGACUGUGGUUGUUUAAAGUAAUGAUGUCAGAUCUAAAUCAACUUUUGUUGUUCAAAAUAGUGGUGGCAGUUCAACUGUGACUGAUGUUGGUUUAGGUAAUAGUGACAGGUCAGAUUUGAUUGUUGUUGGUCAUAGUAAUGAUGACAGGUCAACUGUGACAGUUUUUGGUGAGAGACACGUCAUCCAUGACAUGGCAUUUGGUAUUCAGUGACUUAUUUGGUAUUAGUCCAUCUAGUUAAAAUCUUCUCAUUUCACAUCAGACUUCGUUACAUAAAAUGGGUUUGUAAUUUGAAGCAAAAUGAGAAAAAGCAAUUGUAUUGGUCAGGUCAGCUUUCUGGUGUAAUAGUUUACAUAAAUGAAACAUAGAUAAGUCAAAUCUGGUGUAAAAGUUUAAAUAAAUGAGACAUAGAUAAACCUAAUCUGGUGUAAUAGUUUAAAUAAAUGAGACAUAGAUAAACCUAAUCUGGUGUAGUAGUUUAAAUAAAUAGGACAUAGAUAAACCUAAUCUGGUGUAAUAGUUUAAGUAAAUGGGACAUAGAUAAGUCAAAUCUGGUGUAAUAGUUUAAAUAAAUGAGACAUAGAUAAACCUGAUCUGGUGGAAUAGUUUAAGUAAAUGAGACAUAGAUAAACCUGAUCUGGUGGAAUAGUUUAAGUAAAUGAGACAUAGAUAAACCUAAUCUGGUGUAAUAGUUUAAAUAAAUGAGACAUAGAUUAGUCAAAUCUGGUGUAAUAGUUUAAAUAAAUGAGACAUAGAUAAACCUAAUCUGGUGGAAUAGUUUAAAUAAAUGAGACAUAGAUAUACCUAAUCUGGUGGAAUAGUUUAAGUAAAUGAGACAUAGAUAAACCUAAUCUGGUGUAAUAGUUUAAGUAAAUGAGACAUAGAUAAGUCAAAUCUGGUGUAAUAGUUUAAAUAUAUGAGACAUAGAUACGUCUCAUCAUUAUGAUAUUCUCAUUAUUUCGGACAGUACAACAUUUCAGUGACCUGUACUUUGUUCUAUUCUGUUGUAUUAGUGUGUUUGUAAUAUCUGUAAGUUUACAUCUCCUGCUACAUGUAUAAUAUGUAUAAGUCUAUCUGAGGUAACUCAAGACUAUAAGACUAUAUACUUACACACUUCAAUCAAUUGUGGUCAGAGAAAUGUGUUCCAGAAAUCCCUGUCAUUGGGAAGUGUUCCAGAUUUAUUGAAAUCCUUAUCACAGAAAAGUGUUCCAGAAUGAACAAUAAUUACACCAAAUAAUCAGGAGUUUUCUUCCUUCUCCAGUCUUCUAUCCAAAUCAUCCAUUAGUUUCCUGUAGGACUUAACUCCAUCACUCCCCGUUACAUUGUAAUAUAAACAUAUUUAAUAAUGAAAUAUAAGGAAGAGUGAGUAUCUGUUGUAAAGGUUAAUGAUUACAUAAAGGAUGAAGAGAAACAGGGUUUCAAUCUCUAAUCUGUUCAGGAUUAGUCUCAUAUCCAUUCUACCACUAAUCUGAUCACAGAAAUGUCAGAAUGUUAAUUUUGUAGGUUAAAUGUUUUUCUUUUUUAGGAUUACAAAAUUAAAUACAAACCAGAUUUUGUUUCUGAAGCAGUCGUGUGUGAUAAGAAACGGUCUGGUUUGUUGUAUUACUUUCUUCAUGAUCAUAGAUGCAGCUAAGUUUAUAUGUGUCUAAAGAGAGAGUGAGAGAGAACUUCAUGUCAGCAGGGAAAUGUCUUAUAUACAAAAUGUCUCAUAUUCAAGAAAGUUAAUUCAAAAAUUGUAUAUAUCAGAUGUAUAUAAUAACCAGCUUUAGGAAUAGUUUUACUAGCUUUGUCUCAAAAUUGUAAGCUUUCAGUAUGUUAGCAUUGUCAACCUCAUUUUUAUUUCAGAACGUUGCCUUCCAUUCAGUGUUGAGCCUGCAUAAAAAGCAUUUCGUCAAUGUUUUUAUGCAACAAAAAUGAACAAAUAAAGAGCUUUAGACUGAGGUUACAAUAGACAGGUAUAGACUGAGGUAACAAUAGACAGGUGUAGACUGAGGUUACAAUAGACAGGUGUAGACUGAGGUUACAAUAGACAGUCAUAGACUGAGGUAACAAUAGACAGGUAUAGACUGAGGUAACAAUAGACAGGUGUAGACUGAGGUUACAAUAGACAGUCAAAGACUGAGGUUACAAUAGACAGUCAUAGACUGAGGUAACAAUAGACAGGUGUAGACUGAGGUUACAAUAGACAGGUAUAGACUGAGGUAACAAUAGACAGGUAUAGACUGAGGUAACAAUAGACAGGUAUAUACUGAGGUAACAAUAGACAGGUAUAGACUGAGGUUACAAUAGACAGGUAUAUACUGAGGUAACAAUAGACAGGUAUAGACUGAGGUAACAAUAGACAGGUAUAGACUGAGGUAACAAUAGACAGGUAUAGACUGAGGUUACAAUAGACAGGUAUAGACUGAGGUUACAAUAGACAGGUAUAGACUGAGGUAACAAUAGACAGGUAUAGACUGAGGUAACAAUAGACAGGUAUAUACUGCGUUAACAAUAGACAGGUGUAGACUGAGGUUACAAUAGACAGGUAUAGACUGAGGUAACAAUAGACAGGUAUAGACUGAGGUAACAAUAGACAGAGGUUACAAUAGACAGGUAUAGACUGAGGUAACAAUAGACAGGUAUAGACUGAGGUUACAAUAGACAGGUAUAGACUGAGGUAACAAUAGACAGGUAUAUACUGAGGUAACAAUAGACAGGUAUAGACUGAGGUUACAAUAGACAGGUAUAUACUGAGGUAACAAUAGACAGGUAUAGACUGAGGUAACAAUAGACAGGUAUAGACUGAGGUAACAAUAGACAGGUAUAGACUGAGGUUACAAUAGACAGGUAUAGACUGAGGUAACAAUAGACAGGUAUAGACUGAGGUAACAAUAGACAGGUAUAUACUGCGUUAACAAUAGACAGGUGUAGACUGUUACAAUAGACAGGUAUAGACUGAGGUAACAAUAGACAGGUAUAGACUGAGGUAACAAUAGACAGAGGUUACAAAAGACAGGUAUAGACUGAGGUAACAAUAGACAGGUAUAGACUGAGGUUACAAUAGACAGGUAUAGACUGAGGUAACAAUAGACAGGUGUAGACUGAGGUUACAAUAGACAGGUGUAGACUGAGGUUACAAUAGACAGUCAUAGACUGAGGUUACAAUAGACAGUCAUAGACUGAGGUAACAAUAGACAGGUAUAGACUGAGGUUACAAUAGACAGGUAUAUACUGAGGUUACAAUAGACAGGUAUAUACUGAGGUUACAAUAGACAGGUAUAUACUGAGGUUAAAAUAGACAGGUAUAGACUGAGGUAACAAUAGACAGGUAUAUACUGAGGUUACAAUAGACAGGUAUAGACUGAGGUAACAAUAGACAGGUAUAGACAGAGGUAACAAUAGACAGGUAUAGACUGAGGUUACAAUAGACAGGUAUAGACUGAGGUUACAAUAGACAGGUAUAUACUGAGGUUACAAUAGACAGGUAUAGACUGAGGUUACAAUAGACAGGUAUAGACUGAGGUAACAAUAGACAGGUAUAGACUGAGGUAACAAUAGACAGAGGUUACAAUAGACAGGUGUAGACUGAGGUUACAAUAGACAGGUGUAGACUGAGGUUACAAUAGACAGGUGUAGACUGAGGUAUUAAUAGACAGGUAUAGACUGAGGUAACAAUAGACAGGUAUAGACUGAGGUUACAAUAGACAGGUAUAGACUGAGGUAACAAUUGACAGGUAUAGACUGAGGUUACAAUAGACUGGUGUAGACUGAGGUAACAAUAGACAGGUAUAGACUGAGAUAACAAUAGACAGGUAUAGACUGAAAUAACAAUGGUAUAUGUAUCUCUGCCUUUUGAGUUCAUAUGCAUGUGCAAUAUUUUAAAAGUAAUCCUGAUUUCUUGUUUUAGUAUCAUUCCUUUGAAAAAAAAUAGUUGUCUGUUUUCAUGUUACACACAUUUUGAUAAAGGUAAAGGGUACCUGGCAAUUACCUAAUAUUUUCUUUCAUUAAUAUCAUAGAAGCUAUGAUAUCAUUUGCUUUAUGAAGGUGGUAUCCUUUACCUAGCUAGGUGGUAUCCUUUACCUAACUAGGUGGUAUCCCUUACCCUAGCUAGGUGGUAUCCUUUACCCUAACUAGGUGGUAUCCUUUACCGAAAUAGGUGGUAUCCUUUACCCUAACUAGGUGGUAUCCUUUACCCUAACUAGGUGGUAUCCUUUACCCUAACUAGGUGGUAUCCCUUACCCUAGCUAGGUGGUAUCCUUUACCCUAGCUAGGUGGUAUCCUUUACCCUAACUAGGUGGUAUCCUUUACCUAAAUCUUUACCUAAAUAGGUGGUAUCCUUUACCCUAACUAGGUGGUAUCCUUUACCCUAACUAGGUGAUAUCCUUUACCCUAGCUAGGUGGUAUCCUUUACCCUAGCUAGGUAGUAUCCUUUACCCCAACUAGGUGGUAUCCUUUACCUAACUAGUUGGUAUCCUUUACCCUGAUAAGGUGGUAUCCUUUACCCUAACUAGGUGGUAUCCUUUACCCUAACUAGGUGGUAUCCUUUACCCUGACUAGGUGGUAUCCUUUACCUAACUAGGUGGUAUCCUUUACCCUGACUUAGUGGUAUCCUUUACCCUGACUAGAUGGUAUUUUUUAUCAUUACUAGAUGUAUCUUAACCUGAUUUUGAUACUGCCUAUAAAAUGUAUUACAUGUAUUUAUUCCUUGUAUGAGAUACUUAUCAGGGUAAUAUGCUCUAGUUUAAUACAUCCUUUAUAAACAGUUGAUAGAACUUGCACCUUCUUUGAAUGAAACAGUAUUAUACGGAGGUCACAUUAGUAUUUACGUAACACAAAACUCCUUGUCCCUAAAUCUGAUUGUGUCCCAUGUAUUAUUUCUGAAUAGUGAGUGCUUAAUAAAUAUAAUGUGUAUAUUGUAUCGCCAUGAUCAAGUUAACAUGCUUUCAGAAACUCUUAAAACAAAAGAUAAAUGUUGAGGUUGUGAUUGACAUAUGUCUGGUGGCUACCGACGACAGGUAACUUCCCACCAUUUAUACAUUAGCAUCCAAAUUUUACUCUGAUAAACUGCAUGAGCUGUCUGUCUGUUGGAGUAAUGUUACAAUACACAUGUAGAAUGAUUUUAAAACAUGCAUGCUUCCCAUGUAUUUCUUACAUAUCUAAGUGCUUUAAAGUCACAGACUGUUGUAUCAAUUACCAGACAAAUUGUUUGUAUCAAUGUGAUAUUUAAAGUAAGUUGCUCGGUGAACAGCUGUGAAUCACCAAUACUGGAGACCUCUAUUCACUUGUGUAAAUCUUCUGGUAUACAGAUUUAAAGGAAAGGCACACUGCCAUUACAGUGAAUAUUCAUACUUAUAUCUACAUUUGUUUUGAGAAUAUGAACAAGACUUGAAAGAAAUAGUUUGGAGUGAAACAAUCAUUCCUUUCCUUGUGGGUAUAACAGAGAAACCUCAACCCAUGGGUAAGAUUUUUCCAAUCUUUACAGAUCCAGGGGUUAACAUCCUCGGGUAUAAGAUUACUUUGUCACUUUCUCAAAGUAACAGCUAUUGGGGUAAUCUAUUAUACAACCUUGAACAUUUUAAACACAAGAGAAUUAAACUUUAGAAAAUUUUGUUGAAAUAAAUGAAAAGAAUCUGUUUAAUACAAUAACAUCAGAUUCUAUAAUCCUGACAGGUUUUAAUGUUAUCUGUUUAAUACAAUAACAUCAGAUUCUAUAAUCCUGACAGAUUUUAAUGUUAUCUGUUUAAUACAAUAACAUCAGAUUCUAUAAUCCUGACAGAUUUUAAUGUUAUCUGUUUAAUACAAUAACAUCAGAUUCUAUAAUCCUGACAGAAUUUAAUGUUAUCUGUUUAAUACAAUAACAUCAGAUUCUAUAAUCCUGACAGAUUUUAAUGUCAUCUGUUUAAUACAAUGAUAUCUGAUUCUAUAAUCCUGACAGAUUUUAAUGUCAUCUGUUUAAUACAAUGAUAUCUGAUUCUAUAAUCCUGACAGAUUUUAAUGUCAUCUGUUUAAUACAAUAACAUCAGAUUCUAUAAUCCUGACAGAUUUUAAUGUCAUCUGUUUAAUACAAUAACAUCAGAUUCUAUAAUCCUGACAGAUUUUAAUGUUAUCUGUUUAAUACAAUAACAUCAGAUUCUAUAAUCCUGACAGAUUUUAAUGUUAUCUGUUUAAUAUAAUAACAUCAGAUUUUAAUGUAAGUGAAGAAAAGCUGUUUUUUCUGACCUUAGAAUAUUAUUUAUUUUUUAUGUUGUUGUGUCAUGACCUAAAAUUAGCUAUAACAAUUGUAGACAGUGAACCAAACCCAAAUCUCCUGGGAAGACAGUCUUAAUAAGCAUUUCACACUUGUUGCAAAAAAAAUGAUCCACACAACUGUAUGUCAUGUUUUAUAUCAUUGCUUAGUGUGAACAAAAUGUUGCAGCAGUGUGCUUAACAAAAGCAUCAAGUGUUAUCUAUAAACGAAAUGUACAUACAAACUGACCUUUGUGUUCCAGCUGAUUAUUUAUCUGUACAAUUUUUUUUUUUGUUAAUUUAAAGCUUAAGAUAGUGGAAUCACCACAUUUAUUUAACAACGGAAAGUUCUUGAACAUUUUUGUGGAACAAUUUACCCAGAUUAUCAGUUUGAAUACUAGUUAUUAUAUAUUAUGUACCCAGAUUGUGUAUGUACUGAUGUGAUGGUAAUGUGAUGUAGCGUGUCGACACAAGGUCAUAACACCGAGUUAUACAAUGUAACCUAGUUAUCGGUGUGAAUUACUGUAGCCAUAUACAAUGUAUCAUGUUAACACAAUGUAAUACUAGUUAUACAAUGUGACCUAGUUAUCAGUAAGUAAUACAAUGUAAUACUACUGUUAUACAAUGUGACCUAGUUAUCAGUAAGUAAUACAAUGUAAUACUACUGUUAUACAAUGUGACCUAGUUAUCAGUAAGUAAUACAAUGUAAUACUACUGUUAUACAAUGUGACCUAGACAGUAAUACAAUGUAAUACUACUGUUAUACAAUGUGACCUAGUUAUCAGUAAGUAAUACAAUGUAAUACUACUGUUAUACAAUGUGACCUAGUUAUCAGUAAGUAAUACAAUGUAUCAUGUUAACACAACGUAAUACUACUGUUAUACAAUGUGACCUAGUUAUCAGUAAGUAAUACAAUGUAAUACUACUGUUAUACAAUGUGACCUAGUUAUCAGUAAUACAAUGUAAUACUACUGUUAUACAAUGUGACCUAGUUAUCAGUAAGUAAUACAAUGUAUUAUGUUAACACAAUGUAAUACUACUGUUAUACAAUGUGACCUAGUUAUCAGUAAGUAAUACAAUGUAUUAUGUUAACACAAUGUAAUACUACUGUUAUACAAUGUGACCUAGUUAUCAGUAAAAGUCUGAUAUUAAUGAUAUUCUAAAUAGACCAGUAUUGAUGAGAAUACAUUUCCAACUGGAGGAGGAAUCAUAGUGUUAUCUUGUUUGUAGUGUAAAUCAUAAUGAUGAUACAAUUUUUGUGGCGUAGCAGACUGUUAUGGCUAAUUUAGGAUGUACAAGAUGAUACCUGCCAAGUAUCUUGUACAGUAUCUGUAAGGAAUGAUUAUUGGCAAGUAUAUAUUAAAUUCUUCUUCAGUAACAUUCUGAAGGAGAAUUUGAUUUUCAUCUUUUCUUCUGAAUAAAGUUGGAAUAAGACCAGCAACAUGGGUACUAUAAAGAGUUGAAGGUAUUUGUAGGUGUUUAAUUCCAAUGCUGAAAGUCUGUUCCACAUAUAUGUGUUAGCAUUCUAUGACCUUGUUUUUGUUAGUCUGGUUUUCAAUUGUUGUUUAUUGCUAUGCAAAUGUUAUAGCUACAAGUAGUGCAAUCAAAUUUUAUAUCUGGUUUGUAAUUAAGAUAUGUUUAAAAAAUAAAAUCUUUGCAUGAAAAUAAAGUAUUUAAAACAAAUUAAAAUGAUAAAAAGUU